rnacentral:rRNA from 1 species
AGAGUUUGAUCCUGGCUCAGGACGAACGCUGGCGGCGCGCCUAACACAUGCAAGUCGAACGGAGCUUAGAGAGCUUGCUUUUUAAGCUUAGUGGCGAACGGGUGAGUAACGCGUGAGUAACCUGCCCUGGAGUGGGGGACAACAGUUGGAAACGACUGCUAAUACCGCAUAAGCCCACGGUACCGCAUGGUACUGAGGGAAAAGGAUUUAUUCGCUUUAGGAUGGACUCGCGUCCAAUUAGCUAGUUGGUGAGGUAACGGCCCACCAAGGCGACGAUUGGUAGCCGGACUGAGAGGUUGAACGGCCACAUUGGGACUGAGACACGGCCCAGACUCCUACGGGAGGCAGCAGUGGGGGAUAUUGCACAAUGGGGGAAACCCUGAUGCAGCGACGCCGCGUGGAGGAAGAAGGUCUUCGGAUUGUAAACUCCUGUUGUUGAGGAAGAUAAUGACGGUACUCAACAAGGAAGUGACGGCUAACUACGUGCCAGCAGCCGCGGUAAAACGUAGGUCACAAGCGUUGUCCGGAAUUACUGGGUGUAAAGGGAGCGCAGGCGGGAAGACAAGUUGGAAGUGAAAUCCAUGGGCUCAACCCAUGAACUGCUUUCAAAACUGUUUUUCUUGAGUAGUGCAGAGGUAGGCGGAAUUCCCGGUGUAGCGGUGGAAUGCGUAGAUAUCGGGAGGAACACCAGUGGCGAAGGCGGCCUACUGGGCACCAACUGACGCUGAGGCUCGAAAGUGUGGGUAGCAAACAGGAUUAGAUACCCUGGUAGUCCACACCGUAAACGAUGAUUACUAGGUGUUGGAGGAUUGACCCCUUCAGUGCCGCAGUUAACACAAUAAGUAAUCCACCUGGGGAGUACGACCGCAAGGUUGAAACUCAAAGGAAUUGACGGGGGCCCGCAC